rnacentral:ncRNA from 18 species
AUCGAGGGGGCACUAGUAUGUCUUUUUCAGUCAGCCGCGAACGGGAGAAGCCGGUGCGAAUCCGGCGCUGACCCGCAACCGUGAGCGAGGCCGCGUCCCGGCCCCGCGAGCCGGAGCACACGUGCGCGGCGCACUGGCCU